AACGAACGCUGGCGGCAUGCCUAACACAUGCAAGUCGAACGAGAUCUUCGGGUCUAGUGGCGCACGGGUGCGUAACGCGUGGGAAUCUGCCCUUUGGUUCGGAAUAACAGUUGGAAACGACUGCUAAUACCGGAUGAUGACGAAAGUCCAAAGAUUUAUCGCCAGAGGAUGAGCCCGCGUAGGAUUAGCUAGUUGGUGUGGUAAAGGCGCACCAAGGCGACGAUCCUUAGCUGGUCUGAGAGGAUGAUAAGCCACACUGGGACUGAGACACGGCCCAGACUCCUACGGGAGGCAGCAGUGGGGAAUAUUGGACAAUGGGCGAAAGCUUGAUCCAGCAACGCCGCGUGAGUGAUGAAGGCCUUAAGGUUGUAAAGCUCUUUUACCCGGGAUGAUAAUGACAGUACCGGGAGAAUAAGCUCCGGCUAACUCCGUGCCAGCCGCCGCCGUAA
rnacentral:rRNA from 1 species